rnacentral:rRNA from 1 species
GACGAACGCUGGCGGCGUGCUUAACACAUGCAAGUCGAACGGAAAGGCCUCUUUCGGGGGGUACUCGAGUGGCGAACGGGUGAGUAACACGUGAGUAACCUGCCCUUGACUUUGGGAUAACUUCAGGAAACUGGGGCUAAUACCGGAUAGGAGCUCCUGCUGCAUGGUGGGGGUUGGAAAGUUUCGGCGGUUGGGGAUGGACUCGCGGCUUAUCAGCUUGUUGGUGGGGUAGUGGCUUACCAAGGCUUUGACGGGUAGCCGGCCUGAGUGGGUGACCGGCCACAUUGGGACUGAGAUACGGCCCAGACUCCUACGGGAGGCAGCAGUGGGGAAUAUUGCACAAUGGGUGGAAGCCUGAUGCAGCAACGCCGUGUGCGGGAUGACGGCCUUCGGGUUGGAAACCGCUUUCGCUCAUGACGAAGCUUUGUGUGACGGUAGUGGGUAAAGAAGCACCGGCUAACUACGUG